rnacentral:rRNA from 1 species
UACGAAGGGGGGCUAGCGUUGCUCGGAAUCACUGGGCGUAAAGGGUGCGUAGGCGGGUCUUUAAGUCAGGGGUGAAAUCCUGGAGCUCAACUCCAGAACUGCCUUUGAUACUGAAAGUCUUGAGUAUGGGAGAGGUGAGUGGAACUGCGAGUGUAGAGGUGAAAUUCGUAGAUAUUCGCAAGAACACCAGUGGCGAAGGCGGCUCACUGGCCCAUUACUGACGCUGAGGCGCGAAAGCGUGGGGAGCAAACAGGG